GGGGGGCGAUGGGGGUGCUAUCAUGCAAGUCGAGCGCGGGAAGCAAGCUGAUCCUCUUCGGAGGUGACGCUUGUGGAACGAGCGGCGGACGGGUGAGUAACACGUGGGCAACCUGCCUGUAAGACUGGGAUAACCCCGGGAAACCGGGGCUAAUACCGGAUAAUACUUUUCAUCACCUGAUGGAAAGUUGAAAGGUGGCUUUUAGCUACCACUUACAGAUGGGCCCGCGGCGCAUUAGCUAGUUGGUGAGGUAACGGCUCACCAAGGCAACGAUGCGUAGCCGACCUGAGAGGGUGAUCGGCCACACUGGGACUGAGACACGGCCCAGACUCCUACGGGAGGCAGCAGUAGGGAAUCUUCCGCAAUGGACGAAAGUCUGACGGAGCAACGCCGCGUGAGUGAUGAAGGUUUUCGGAUCGUAAAGCUCUGUUGUUAGGGAAGAACAAGUGCCGUUCGAAUAGGGCGGCACCUUGACGGUACCUAACCAGAAAGCCCCGGCUAACUACGUGCCAGCAGCCGCGGUAAUACGUAGGGGGCAAGCGUUGUCCGGAAUUAUUGGGCGUAAAGCGCGCGCAGGCGGUCCUUUAAGUCUGAUGUGAAAGCCCACGGCUCAACCGUGGAGGGUCAUUGGAAACUGGAGGACUUGAGUACAGAAGAGGAGAGUGGAAUUCCACGUGUAGCGGUGAAAUGCGUAGAGAUGUGGAGGAACACCAGUGGCGAAGGCGACUCUCUGGUCUGUAACUGACGCUGAGGCGCGAAAGCGUGGGGAGCGAACAGGAUUAGAUACCCUGGUAGUCCACGCCGUAAACGAUGAGUGCUAGGUGUUAGGGGGUUUCCGCCCCUUAGUGCUGAAGUUAACGCAUUAAGCACUCCGCCUGGGGAGUACGGCCGCAAGGCUGAAACUCAAAAGAAUUGACGGGGGCCCGCACAAGCGGUGGAGCAUGUGGUUUAAUUCGACGCAACGCGAAGAACCUUACCAGGUCUUGACAUCCUCUGCAAUCGGUAGAGAUACCGAGUUCCCUUC
rnacentral:rRNA from 1 species